rnacentral:lncRNA from 1 species
CGCAGUCGUGUUACCGGUGACACGAGGAAGUGUACCGGUACACUUUGGGCUUGUAACAUAUCAGAUUUUGAUAUAAAAAUAAAAAAUAAAUAAAAAUAGUGUGAGAUACUAUUUUUAUUGGAUUUAGAGAAGUAAAAUAUAAUUCGAGAACGACUCGUGUUGAAAUCGAAAUGAAAAUAGAAGAUUUAGAAUUUUCUGUGAGAAACGGAGCUGAUAUUUUAGCAGAAAAUGCAUAGUGUCAGAAAAUUAUGAAAACUGGAGAAUAUGUCGGAAUUAUUUUUAUGAGGCUAGAUUUAAAGUUUCAUAUCAUUCUGACAUCCGGAAGGUGGAAAAUAAAAUCCGACUGCUAUCUGCUAGAGAUUACAGUUCGGUAGAGCUUUCGGUGACCAAAUAUGGUCGAAACUGCAAGAUUAAAAUU